rnacentral:rRNA from 1 species
GAUGAACGCUGGCGGCGUGCCUAAUACAUGCAAGUCGAGCGAACAGACGAGGAGCUUGCUCCUCUGACGUUAGCGGCGGACGGGUGAGUAACACGUGGAUAACCUACCUAUAAGACUGGGAUAACUUCGGGAAACCGGAGCUAAUACCGGAUAAUAUAUUGAACCGCAUGGUUCAAUAGUGAAAGACGGUUUUGCUGUCACUUAUAGAUGGAUCCGCGCCGCAUUAGCUAGUUGGUAAGGUAACGGCUUACCAAGGCAACGAUGCGUAGCCGACCGGAGAGGGUGAUCGGCCACACUGGAACUGAGACACGGUCCAGACUCCUACGGGAGGCAGCAGUAGGGAAUCUUCCGCAAUGGGCGAAAGCCUGACGGAGCAACGCCGCGUGAGUGAUGAAGGUCUUCGGAUCGUAAAACUCUGUUAUUAGGGAAGAACAAAUGUGUAAGCAACUAUGCACGUCUUGACGGUACCUAAUCAGAAAGCCACGGCUAACUACGUG